rnacentral:tRNA from 1 species
ACGGGAUUGGCACAGUUGGAAGUGCGCUGGCUUUGGGAGCCAGAGGCCGCCGGUUCGAGCCCGGCAUCCCGUA